GGGAUUGCCCUAGUAACGGCGUGUGAAGCGGCAACAGCUCAAAUUUGAAAUCUGGCUCCUUCCGGGGUCCGAGUUGUAAUUUGUAGAGGGUGCUUUGGCGUUGGCCAUGGUCUAAGUUCCUUGGAACAGGGCGUCACAGAGGGUGAGAAUCCCGUACGUGGCCGCUGGCCUUCGCCAUGUAAAGCCCCUUCGACGAGUCGAGUUGUUUGGGAAUGCAGCUCUAAAUGGGAGGUAAAUUUCUUCUAAAGCUAAAUAUUGGCCAGAGACCGAUAGCGCACAAGUAGAGUGAUCGAAAGAUGAAAAGCACUUUGGAAAGAGAGUCAAAAAGCACGUGAAAUUGUUGAAAGGGAAGCGCUUGCAGCCAGACUUGCCCGUAGUUGCUCAUCCAGGUUUCGGCCUGGUGCACUCUUCUGCGGGCAGGCCAGCAUCAGUUCAGGCGGUCGGAUAAAGGUUUCGGGAAUGUGGCUCUCUUCGGGGAGUGUUAUAGCCCGGGGCGUAAUGCGGCCAGUCUGGACUGAGGUUCGCGCAUCUGCUAGGAUGCUGGCGUAAUGGCUGUAAGCGGCCCGUCUUGAAACACGGACCAAGGAGUCUAACAUCUAUGCGAGUGUUUGGGUGUCAAGCCCGAGCGCGUAAUGAAAGUGAACGGAGGUGGGAACCCGCAAGGGCGCACCAUCGACCGAUCCUGAUGUCUUCGGAUGGAUUUGAGUAAGAGCAUAGCUGUUGGGACCCGAAAGAUGGUGAACUAUGCCUGAAUAGGGUGCAGCCAGAGGAAACUCUGGUGGAGGCUCGCAGCGGUUCUGACGUGCAAAUCGAUCGUCAAAUUUGGGCAUAGGGGCGAAAGACUAAUCGAACUAUCUAGUAGCUGGUUCCUGCCGAAGUUUCCUUCAGGAUAG
rnacentral:rRNA from 1 species